rnacentral:rRNA from 1 species
UUGAUCCUGGCUCAGGACGAACGCUGGCGGCGUGCCUAACACAUGCAAGUCGAGCGGGGAGAAGAAUUCGUUUUUCUCUUUAGCGGCGGACGGGUGAGUAACACGUGGGUAACCUGCCUCAAAGUGGGGGAUAGCCUUCCGAAAGGAAGAUUAAUACCGCAUAAUAUCAGAGCACUGCAUGGUGCUGUGAUUAAAGGAGCAAUCCGCUUUGAGAUGGACCCGCGGCGCAUUAGCUAGUUGGUGAGGUAACGGCCCACCAAGGCGACGAUGCGUAGCCGACCUGAGAGGGUGAUCGGCCACAUUGGAACUGAGACACGGUCCAGACUCCUACGGGAGGCGGCAGUGGGGAAUAUUGCACAAU